rnacentral:misc_RNA from 1 species
UAAUGGAGGCAACUUCAACUGCAACUGCGCUUCGUCGUCUUUCUCUUAUCUCUUCCCAUUUUCGUACUCAUUGCUCGUCUCUUCAAGUGUCGCCAUUCAGUUGCAGCUCCACCGAUGGUGAAAAUCAUGAAAAUGGGUGUGUUUUCUGUAUGAUUGUUCGAGGUAAAGCACCUGCUUUAAAGGUUGUGGCUGCCAUGAGUUCAAAAUUGCCCUUGAUUAGCAGUGCAGUCAUGAAAGCCACUGGUUGUGAUUCGUUCAACUUGUUAGUUAACAAGUUGAACGAA